AUAGAAAAAAAUGCAGCAGUUAUCACCUAGGAGGUUUUCAUUGAUGGAUAUGGGGUGAGAGCUCAUGGUCCUAAACUUCAUGUGGCUCAUGUUUUUUCUCAUUUGUUGCUACUUUUGUGAGGGCCUUUUUUGUCAUGAUCGACGUAGAAGGGUUCGCCGAAGUAAAGACUGGUCUAGAGAGCUUGCAUGACCAAACUAAUGUUCAGCUGGUCAGUAUGUUCUAAAAGAUCCAACUAUCAGUAGCAUUUGUGUGGCAUCAACUAUCUGAGCUAAAGUUUUUUACUUGGCAUAUUUCAAUAAAUAUAUGGCUGCUGAUCCAGGAUAUGAUCCUUUAUGACCUUAAUGCUCAAGUGUGUUCUUUUGCCAUUGGUUUAUGGUUGACCAACCAUGGAAAUAAUGACAAAUGAAACCCGACCAUUGGUCUUUGUUCAUCAUUGCCCAACACAUAGGACAUGUUUAUAUUUUGGAUUCAACAAAGAUAAAAGGCUAAAAGAAUGCUUCUAACUAUCGUCUUUCAAGCCUAAUUCCUACCACCUUAGGAUCCGAGUUCAACUACACAAUG